rnacentral:rRNA from 1 species
GGUUAAGCGACUAAGCGUACACGGUGGAUGCCCUGGCAGUCAGAGGCGAUGAAGGACGUGCUAAUCUGCGAUAAGCGUCGGUAAGGUGAUAUGAACCGUUAUAACCGGCGAUUUCCGAAUGGGGAAACCCAGUGUGAUUCGUCACACUAUCAUUAACUGAAUCCAUAGGUUAAUGAGGCGAACCGGGGGAACUGAAACAUCUAAGUACCCCGAGGAAAAGAAAUCAACCGAGAUUCCCCCAGUAGCGGCGAGCGAACGGGGAGCAGCCCAGAGCCUGAAUCAGUGUGUGUGUUAGUGGAAGCGUCUGGAAAGGCGCGCGAUACAGGGUGACAGCCCCGUACACAAAAAUGCACAUGCUGUGAGCUCGAUGAGUAGGGCGGGACACGUGGUAUCCUGUCUGAAUAUGGGGGGACCAUCCUCCAAGGCUAAAUACUCCUGACUGACCGAUAGUGAACCAGUACCGUGAGGGAAAGGCGAAAAGAACCCCGGCGAGGGGAGUGAAAAAGAACCUGAAACCGUGUACGUACAAGCAGUGGGAGCACGCUUAGGCGUGUGACUGCGUACCUUUUGUAUAAUGGGUCAGCGACUUAUAUUCUGUAGCAAGGUUAACCGAAUAGGGGAGCCGAAGGGAAACCGAGUCUUAACUGGGCGUUAAGUUGCAGGGUAUAGACCCGAAACCCGGUGAUCUAGCCAUGGGCAGGUUGAAGGUUGGGUAACACUAACUGGAGGACCGAACCGACUAAUGUUGAAAAAUUAGCGGAUGACUUGUGGCUGGGGGUGAAAGGCCAAUCAAACCGGGAGAUAGCUGGUUCUCCCCGAAAGCUAUUUAGGUAGCGCCUCGUGAAUUCAUCUCCGGGGGUAGAGCACUGUUUCGGCAAGGGGGUCAUCCCGACUUACCAACCCGAUGCAAACUGCGAAUACCGGAGAAUGUUAUCACGGGAGACACACGGCGGGUGCUAACGUCCGUCGUGAAGAGGGAAACAACCCAGACCGCCAGCUAAGGUCCCAAAGUCAUGGUUAAGUGGGAAACGAUGUGGGAAGGCCCAGACAGCCAGGAUGUUGGCUUAGAAGCAGCCAUCAUUUAAAGAAAGCGUAAUAGCUCACUGGUCGAGUCGGCCUGCGCGGAAGAUGUAACGGGGCUAAACCAUGCACCGAAGCUGCGGCAGCGACACUAUGUGUUGUUGGGUAGGGGAGCGUUCUGUAAGCCUGCGAAGGUGUGCUGUGAGGCAUGCUGGAGGUAUCAGAAGUGCGAAUGCUGACAUAAGUAACGAUAAAGCGGGUGAAAAGCCCGCUCGCCGGAAGACCAAGGGUUCCUGUCCAACGUUAAUCGGGGCAGGGUGAGUCGACCCCUAAGGCGAGGCCGAAAGGCGUAGUCGAUGGGAAACAGGUUAAUAUUCCUGUACUUGGUGUUACUGCGAAGGGGGGACGGAGAAGGCUAUGUUGGCCGGGCGACGGUUGUCCCGGUUUAAGCGUGUAGGCUGGUUUUCCAGGCAAAUCCGGAAAAUCAAGGCUGAGGCGUGAUGACGAGGCACUACGGUGCUGAAGCAACAAAUGCCCUGCUUCCAGGAAAAGCCUCUAAGCAUCAGGUAACAUCAAAUCGUACCCCAAACCGACACAGGUGGUCAGGUAGAGAAUACCAAGGCGCUUGAGAGAACUCGGGUGAAGGAACUAGGCAAAAUGGUGCCGUAACUUCGGGAGAAGGCACGCUGAUAUGUAGGUGAAGUCCCUCGCGGAUGGAGCUGAAAUCAGUCGAAGAUACCAGCUGGCUGCAACUGUUUAUUAAAAACACAGCACUGUGCAAACACGAAAGUGGACGUAUACGGUGUGACGCCUGCCCGGUGCCGGAAGGUUAAUUGAUGGGGUUAGCGCAAGCGAAGCUCUUGAUCGAAGCCCCGGUAAACGGCGGCCGUAACUAUAACGGUCCUAAGGUAGCGAAAUUCCUUGUCGGGUAAGUUCCGACCUGCACGAAUGGCGUAAUGAUGGCCAGGCUGUCUCCACCCGAGACUCAGUGAAAUUGAACUCGCUGUGAAGAUGCAGUGUACCCGCGGCAAGACGGAAAGACCCCGUGAACCUUUACUAUAGCUUGACACUGAACAUUGAGCCUUGAUGUGUAGGAUAGGUGGGAGGCUUUGAAGUGUGGACGCCAGUCUGCAUGGAGCCGACCUUGAAAUACCACCCUUUAAUGUUUGAUGUUCUAACGUUGACCCGUGAUCCGGGUUGCGGACAGUGUCUGGUGGGUAGUUUGACUGGGGCGGUCUCCUCCUAAAGAGUAACGGAGGAGCACGAAGGUUGGCUAAUCCUGGUCGGACAUCAGGAGGUUAGUGCAAUGGCAUAAGCCAGCUUGACUGCGAGCGUGACGGCGCGAGCAGGUGCGAAAGCAGGUCAUAGUGAUCCGGUGGUUCUGAAUGGAAGGGCCAUCGCUCAACGGAUAAAAGGUACUCCGGGGAUAACAGGCUGAUACCGCCCAAGAGUUCAUAUCGACGGCGGUGUUUGGCACCUCGAUGUCGGCUCAUCACAUCCUGGGGCUGAAGUAGGUCCCAAGGGUAUGGCUGUUCGCCAUUUAAAGUGGUACGCGAGCUGGGUUUAGAACGUCGUGAGACAGUUCGGUCCCUAUCUGCCGUGGGCGCUGGAGAACUGAGGGGGGCUGCUCCUAGUACGAGAGGACCGGAGUGGACGCAUCACUGGUGUUCGGGUUGUCAUGCCAAUGGCACUGCCCGGUAGCUAAAUGCGGAAGAGAUAAGUGCUGAAAGCAUCUAAGCACGAAACUUGCCCCGAGAUGAGUUCUCCCUGACUCCUUGAGAGUCCUGAAGGAACGUUGAAGACGACGACGUUGAUAGGCCGGGUGUGUAAGCGCAGCGAUGCGUUGAGCUAACCGGUACUAAUGAACCGUGAGGCUUAACCUU